rnacentral:sRNA from 15 species
GCGGACAGCGGAGCACGAUUAGUUCCCGUGCCCUCGAUCCUGAUCGGUGUCAGACAGUGCCGAGGGGCGCGUGCAACAGAUUCGACAGGGGAGGCAGGGUAAAAAGGCACUGCGCU